rnacentral:rRNA from 1 species
AGUGAACGCUGGCGGUAGGCCUAACACAUGCAAGUCGAACGGCAGCACAGUAAGAGCUUGCUCUUACGGGUGGCGCGUGGCUGACGGGUGAGGAAUACAUCGGAAUCUACUUUUUCGUGGGGGAUAACGUAGGGAAACUUACGCUAAUACCGCAUACGACCUACGGGUGAAAGCAGGGGAUCUUCGGACCUUGCGCGAUUGAAUGAGCCGAUGUCGGAUUAGCUAGUUGGCGGGGUAAAGGCCCACCAAGGCGACGAUCCGUAGCUGGUCUGAGAGGAUGAUCAGCGACACUGGAACUGAGACACGGUCCAGACUCCUACGGGAGGCAGCAGUGGGGAAUAUUGGACAAUGGGCGCAAGCCUGAUCCAGCCAUACCGCGUGGGUGAAGAAGGCCUUCGGGUUGUAAAGCCCUUUUGUUGGGAAAGAAAAGCAGCAGGUUAAUACCCCGCUGUUCUGACGGUACCCAAAGAAUAAGCACCGGCUAACUUCGUG